rnacentral:rRNA from 1 species
ACGCUCGACACCUACGGGAGGCAGCAGUGGGGAAUAUUGCACAAUGGGGGAAACCCUGAUGCAGCGACGCCGCGUGGAGGAAGAAGGUCUUCGGAUUGUAAACUCCUGUUGUUGGGGAAAAAGAGGAUGGUACCCAACAAGGAAGUGACGGCUAACUACGUGCCGGCGACGCCGNGUAUCNGNGGCGGNGUGAGAG